UGGGGAAUAUUGGACAAUGGGCGCAAGCCUGAUCCAGCCACGCCGCGUGAGUGAUGAAGGCCUUCGGGUCGUAAAGCUCUGUGGGGAGGGACGAACCGCCGGUGGUUCAUAGCCAACGGCAUGACGGUACCUCCUUAGCAAGCACCGGCUAACUUCGUGCCAGCAGCCGCGGUAAUACGAAGGGUGCAAACGUUGCUCGGAAUUAUUGGGCGUAAAGCGCACGUAGGCGGCAUUGCAAGUCGGAUGUGAAAUCUUAUGGCUUAACCAUAAAAGUGCAUCCGAAACUGCAGUGCUUGAGUACUUAAGAGGAUCGCGGAAUUCCCGGUGUAGAGGUGAAAUUCGUAGAUAUCGGGAGGAACACCAGUGGCGAAGGCGGCGAUCUGGGAAGAUACUGACGCUGAGGUGCGAAAGCGUGGGGAGCAAACA
rnacentral:rRNA from 1 species